AGUAAGACCAAGUUUGGUGCGCCAUUUCCUUUUCUGUAGCCAUGUCCAUGGGCUCUUGAGUUUGCCACCUGGGUGAGGGCCUGCU
rnacentral:pre_miRNA from 1 species